GGCCAGGAGGAAAGAAACACUAUAUGCUAAAACACCUAGUAUGGGCAAGCAGGGGGCUGGAAAAAUUUGCACCUUACCCUUGCC
rfam:Human immunodeficiency virus type 1 matrix protein p17 (gag) gene, partial cds.